rnacentral:rRNA from 1 species
CCAAUAGCGUAUAUUAAAGUUGUUGCAGUUAAAAAGCUCGUAGUUGAAUUUCGGGAUCAGUAGGUUGGUCGUGCCAUUGGUAUGUACUGGUCUUACUGAUUUCUCCUUCCUGAUGAGCCGUAAUGCCAUUAAUUUGGUGUUUCAGGGAAGCUGGACUGUUCCUUUGAAAAAAUUAGAGUGUUUAAAGCAGGCUCACGCUUGAAUACAUUAGCAUGGAAUAAUGAAAUAGGACGUUUGAUUCUAUUUUGUUGGUUUCUAGGAUUGACGUAAUGAUUAAUAGGGAUAGUUGGGGGCAUUAGUAUUCAAUUGUCAGAGGUGAAAUUCUUGGAUUUAUUGAAGACUAACUACUGCGAAAGCAUUUGCCAAGGAUGUUUUCAUUAAUCAAGAACGAAAGUUAGGGGAUCGAAGACGAUCAGAUACCGUCGUAGUCUUAACCAUAAACUAUGCCGACUAGGGAUCGGAUGAUGUUAAUUUUUUAAUGACUCAUUCGGCGCCUUACG